UAGAACGAUUUUGUAAUUUCUAAUAAUAUUCAUAAUUGGGAAUAACCUUCUAAGUUAUCAGGGCAGGUGAUUCAUUCUUACUACAAUGACAACAUAAUGACUUAUUUUUCAAGUGAAAACUAGAACAAUAGAAUUUACUAUUGUUCAUUUUUUUUCUGUUGGAACUUAUUAUUACGUUUUUUGACACUUUAUAAUCACAUCAAAAACAUUUUAAAGUCAUCAAUUUUCAGAGAACUUGACAUCAUAAGGAAAGUAUUCCACAGCUAAUCGCGGGUCUUCAAGACCUCGGGACCAUGGCCCUCCCGAUUUGCCUCAGUAAAAAAAUGUAUAAUAACCUGACAUUGUGUUUGAUAAGAAAUAUUUUAAACAACAUUUAUUAUUAAUGUAGCAAAUCAAAAAUCAAAUUGUUUCGCCACGUGGGUUCAACAAUUUAUCAGUCAGUUGAAAAGGAAGGAAUAUUGAAAAUUAAUUGUUGGGUUGCAAGAAUCGGCUGGCUGCAGGCAGCACAUACAUUAUGGCGAGCCUUGAAGACUAUUUCUAGUGGACGUCUGUGGACAAUUGAUGAUGGUCAAACACGAAGAGAUCGUAGAGUGGAAAAGGUGAAAUUUAACGGAGCGAGAAAUCGACGGGAUGCGGUGUUUAUUGUAACGAGCGCGCGAUCGGGCGUGCGGCGCGGCGGCGGCGUGCGCGCUAGAGAAACCGAAAGUAAUGGCGUCGUAUUCAACCCACUUUCACUGUUGCGGUGCGCGAGCGCGAGCGCAGCUGACACCCGCUUGGCCCUUAUUUGCCUUUGAUUAACCUGCAAACGCAUUAAACGAUACGUCCUUAUUACGUUUCUUAUAAUGAAACUUUGUUGCAGUUUCAGUUAAAUUAUUAUAGUGGUGAACGAAAAUGAAGCGUCAAGCCAAAUCACUGGUGGUAGGACCUCUUGGGAGUCCGCACGGGUAGGUACGCCUAUUUCUGCUGUGAAGCAGUAAUGCGCUUCGGUUCGAAGGGUGGGGUAGCCGUU